CCUACGGGUGGCAGCAGUGGGGAAUAUUGGACAAUGGGCGAAAGCCUGAUCCAGCCAUGCCGCGUGUGUGAAGAAGGCCUUCGGGUUGUAAAGCACUUUCAGUGGGGAAGAAAGCCUUGGGGCUAAUACCCUCGAGGAAGGACAUCACCCACAGAAGAAGCACCGGCUAACUCCGUGCCAGCAGCCGCGGUAAUACGGAGGGUGCGAGCGUUAAUCGGAAUUACUGGGCGUAAAGCGCGCGUAGGCGGUCUGAUAAGCCGGUUGUGAAAGCCCCGGGCUCAACCUGGGAACGGCAUCCGGAACUGUCAGGCUAGAGUGCAGGAGAGGAAGGUAGAAUUCCCGGUGUAGCGGUGAAAUGCGUAGAGAUCGGGAGGAAUACCAGUGGCGAAGGCGGCCUUCUGGACUGACACUGACGCUGAGGUGCGAAAGCAUGGGUAGCAAACAGGAUUAGAUACCCCAGUAGUC
rnacentral:rRNA from 1 species